GAAGGUUAAGUGAUGAACAAAAUGAUACUGUUUCUCUAAUUGCUAACCUUGGAGGAAGUAUGGUCAGCAGUCCUGGGAGAAACUCAGCUACCUCAACGAAGCGAGGAUCCAUCUCCUUUCGAACAACAGACAAGGAUGAAACUACUUCAGGGGCCUUUGUGGAAUUAAGUGUAUUCUCUCCUAGUCAGCAUUCAUCCCCUCCUGGCUCACCUCAACUUCUUGGCUGGCCUAUGCUACCAUUCUCUAAUUGCUAACAUUGGAGGAAGUAUGGUCAGCAGUCCUGGGAGAAAUUCAGCUACCUCAACGAAGCGAGGAUCCAUCUCCUUUCGAACAACGGACAAGGAUGAAACUACUUCAGGGGCCUUUGUGGAAUUAAGUGUAUUCUCUCCUAGUCAGCAUUCAUCCCCUCCUGGCUCACCUCAACUUCUUGGCUGGCCUAUGCUACCACCCUCACAAGCUCAAGGUCCCUUAUAGUUUUCUUGGGGCUGUAUCUUUCUUGUAUUCUCCUAUUACUGUCAUGGUGGUGGAUUAUAACUGAAAGGUCACUUUUUUGGGUUUUAUAUUGUUUGUGUUCAUUAUAUGAGUGAUUUCGAUGUUUGGUACAUUUUUUACUAGUAAUAAUUAGGACUUGCGAACAUGGAGAGGUGAAAUCUAACAAAAUUUGCUGUAUAAAAGGUUAUCUUUCAUUCUUUUGUAUUCCAUAUAGCUGAAUAUUGAGUCACCGAACAGUAGUUUGUAUUGCAAAUACACCUAUGGGAAAUGAAUGAAUACUAUAUGAAGUUAUGAACCAAAUUUGCCCCAAAAGAAAUUAAGUCGUGAUGCCUAUUGGUUAACAGCUUAAGGAUGCUAAGACCAUUAUAAGUCGACCUUUUUGUGGGUUUCCCCCCUUUUCUUCGUGUAGCUUCCCACCCUCUUCUUCGUGUGGUUUUCAUUUGCCCUUUUGCAUCCAACUCGAAGGUUUUAACUUAAAAUGAACUUACAUUUUCCCAGCCUCUGACAUUUAUUAUUAGGUCUUUAGCUUAGCCCCUACAAUCAUCAAAUUUCGUCUUCUGAUAAGUCGUGACAUC
rnacentral:lncRNA from 1 species